rnacentral:rRNA from 1 species
UACGGGGGGAGCAAGCGUUGUUCGGAUUUACUGGGCGUAAAGGGCGCGUAGGCGGUCAGCACAAGUCAGUUGUGAAAUCUCCGGGCUUAACUCGGAAAGGUCAACUGAUACUGUGCGACUAGAGUGCGGAAGGGGCAACUGGAAUUCUCGGUGUAGCGGUGAAAUGCGUAGAUAUCGUGAGGAAGACCAGUGGCGAAGGCGGGUCUCUGGACAGUUCCUGACACUGAGGCACGAAGGCCAGGGGAGCAAACGGG